GAUGAACGUUGGCGGUGUGCCUAAUACAUGCAAGUCGAACGGAGUUAAUAGCAAUAUUGACUUAGUGGCGAACGGGUGAGUAACGCGUUGGUGAUCUGCCUUGAAGUGUGGAAUAACGCUCCGAAAGGAGCGCUAAUACCGCAUGUGCUCUCAAUUUUUAGAAAGUUGAGAGGAAAGGAUUUAUUCGCUUCGAGAGGAGCCUGCGUCCCAUCAGCUGGUUGGUAGGGUAAAGGCCUACCAAGGCAAUGACGGGUAGGGGACCUGAGAGGGUGGCCCCCCAAAUGGAACUGAAACACGGUCCAUACACCUACGGGUGGCAGCAGUAGGGAAUAUUAGAAAUGGACGAAAGUCUGAUCUAGCAACACCGCGUGUGCGAAGAAGGCCUUGGGUCGUAAAGCACUUUUUGGAAGGAAUAGGAAGGAAUGUACUUCCAGAAUAAGUCUCGGCUAACUACGUG
rnacentral:rRNA from 1 species